GAUAAACGCUGGCGGCGUGCCUAACACAUGCAAGUCGAACGAUCCCGCAAGGGAGAGUGGCGGAAGGGUGAGUAACACGUGGGAAUCUACCUCCUCGCAGGGAACAACCUCUCGAAAGAGAGGCUAAUACCCAAAGGGUCAGAAAUGAUCAGAGUCGAAAGGCGUGAGGAGAGGAGCCCGCGGCCCAUCAGCUAGUUGGUGAGGUAAUGGCUUACCAAGGCUACGACGGGUAGGGGAUCUGAGAGGAUGUCCCCCACACUGGAACUGAAACACGGUCCAGACGCCUACGGGUGGCAGCAGUGAGGAAUAUUGGACAAUGGGCGAAAGCCCGAUCCAGCAACGCCGCGUGGAGGAUGAAGGCCUUCGGGUCGUAAACUUCUUUAGAGGGAGACGAGAAAGGACGGUAUCCCUAGAAUAAGCGACGGCAAACUACGUGCCAGCAGCCGCGGUAAU
rnacentral:rRNA from 1 species